GACGAACGCUGGCGGCGCGCCUAACACAUGCAAGUCGAACGAGCGAGAGAGAGAUUGCUUUCUUGAGCGAGUGGCUAACGGGUGAGUAACUCGUGAGGAACCUGCCUCAAAGAGGGGGACAACAGUUGGAAACGACUGCUAAUACCUCAUAAGCCCACGACCCGGCAUCGGGUUGAGGGAAAAGGAGCAAUCCGCUUUGAGAUGGCCUCGCGUCCGAUUAGCUAGUUGGUGAGGUAACGGCCCACCAAGGCGACGAUCGGUAGCCGGACUGAGAGGUUGAACGGCAACAUUGGGACUGAGACACGGCCCAGACUCCUACGGGAGGAAGAAGUGGGGAAGAUUGAACAAUGGGGGAAACACUGAUGCAGCGACGCCGCGUGGAGGAAGAAGGUCUUCGGAUUGUAAACUCCUGUUGUUGAGGAAGAUAAUGACGGUACUCAACAAGGAAGUGACGGCUAACUACGUG
rnacentral:rRNA from 1 species